rnacentral:rRNA from 1 species
GACGAACGCUGGCGGCGUGCUUAACACAUGCAAGUCGAGCGGUAAGGCCCUUUCGGGGUACACGAGCGGCGAACGGGUGAGUAACACGUGGGUGACCUGCCCUCAGCUCUGGGAUAAGCCCGGGAAACUGGGUCUAAUACCGGAUAUGACUCCACGGUGCAUGUCGUGGGGUGGAAAGACCUUGUGCGGCUGAGGAUGGGCCCGCGGCCUAUCAGCUUGUUGGUGGGGUGAUGGCCUACCAAGGCGACGACGGGUAGCCGGCCUGAGAGGCGACCGGCCACACUGGGACUGAGACACGGCCCAGACUCCUACGGGAGGCAGCAGUGGGGAAUCUUGCGCAAUGGGCGAAAGCCUGACGCAGCGACGCCGCGUGA